rnacentral:sRNA from 1 species
CCUGUGAAUGAGUUGUUUGACGUCCUAAGGGGAUACAACCCACAGGUUGAGAACAACUGCCUCAAGAACUACAACAGCCAAGACCAACCUGAUGUCAGACAUAGCGAAGAAGGCACGGCCCCCUUUCCUACCAGUUUUUGGGUGUUUGAAUUUAAUCUGCAACUGCCAGCUACCCAGUCUCAGGCAAAUGACAUUACACUGUACCAUUGCAAAGGGAUCUGUGGCAUAAAUAAAUGUAUCGGGAGGUCAAGAGGUCAAGAGCAUAAACGAGGCAAAGAUUUCAAAGAAAUCACCGACCAAAUGAUUUAUAAAUCAUGGAAAACACUGCUCCGGCCAUAAAAGAGAAAUUAAAUUUAUACAUCAUGAGCUUCAGGAUGCCUUGGGUUCUGAUCUACAGGAAUGCCUGACCCGGACAUGAUGGCCUGUGCAUAAAACUAAAGUGGUUUCAUGGGGCUCUCGCAGAAAACACCUUCGAUUUGGAACGUCACUCAUGAGCUAAGCAGAUGGGAAGUGGCGAAUGAUACUUGCGAAUGGCCCGCAGACUUUGAAACGGAUUUAUGUCUUUAGGACAUAACUGAUAGAGACUUGAAAUUGGGGCUAGUUUUAAAGUUGUCCUAGGAACAGAUUUUUGCUAAUCUACUAAAUAGAAACAAUAUGCUAGUUUCUAGCUUGACGUGCAGAUGGCUGGUGAUGACAGAGGACCCUUUGCUCUCAUGAUCCAAAGUUAAACUGCAGCGAGGUGUGUCCUGUCUCUCCUUCCCAGUUUUCUGUCCUCCCUCCCUUCGUUUUUCAUUUACCCUCCCCCCUGUAUACUAUUUAAAAAAAAAAUCCCCACUUUGGCUUUUAAUUAUUUGAGAGAAUAAGGCCUUUGGGUCAAUAUGUGUUGGGUCAUGUAUUUUGAUUUUUAAAAAUGGUACAAGAUACAGUUCACUAAAGCCCUAGAGAGAAGGGGAAUGGGGGGAAUUGUAUUUCCUCCCCCCCUUAAUGUUUUUUCUUUGCUCAUCUUCACCUAGGCAUAUGUUAAAGAAGAUGUUAGGAACAGACUGCCCAAGCAUAUUCACUUACAUCAUCAAAACUGGAUUGCAAGUCACCUUGCUUGAGGACUGUCCUCUGCAAUAUCCCCUCUCCGUUUCUUUGUAACUAGGGAUUUGGGUGAUUAUGGGUGGGGUCGGAAUCCAGGUACUUAAGUUGGUUGGGAAAAUUCCCACAUGAAAAGGAUGCUCUGUGUUUCCUGCCUUGGACCUGUCCUGAAUCCCCAGAGGCCCAGCCAUUCUUGGAAUUAUUUCUUUCUCCAAAGAAAUCAAAUACACAAAGUUGAACGAGUUAAAAUGAGUAUCACUUGUAAGCUAUACCUGCUUUUUAUUUUCCUUUUUUU